CCCCCGGUGUCCGCCAUGGCCGAAGCCUACAACCACCUCUUCAAGUUACUGCUGAUCGGGGACUCGGGAGUGGGCAAGACUUGUCUGAUCAUUCGCUUUGCAGAAGACAACUUCAACAACACUUACAUCUCCACCAUUGUAAUUGAUUUCAAGAUCCGCACUGUGGAUAUAGAGGGGAAGAAAAUCAAACUACAAGUCUGGGACACGGCUGACCAAGAGUGAUUCAAGACAAUAAGUACUGCCUACUACCGUGGAGCCAUGGGUAUUAUCCUAGUAUACGACAUCAUGGAUGAGAAAUCUUUCGAGAAUAUUCAGAACUGGAUGAAAAGCAUCAAGGAGAAUGGCUUGGCUGGGGUGGAACACCUCUUGCUAGGGAACAAAUGUGACGUGGAGGCCAAGAGGAAGGUGCAAAAGGAGCAGGCCGAUAAGUUGGCUCCAGAGCAAGGAAUCCGAUUUUUCGAAACUAGUGCUAAAUCCAGUAUGAAUGUGGAUGAGGCUUUUAGCUCCCUGGCCCAGGACAUCUUGCUCAAGUCAGGAGACCGGAGAUCAGGAAACGGCAACAAGCCUCCCAGUACUGACCUGAAAACUUGCGACAAGAAGAACACCAGCAAGUGCUCCCUGGGCUGAGGACCCUUUCUCGCCCCCCCACCCUGGAAGCUGAACCUGAGGGAGACAGGGCAGAGGGAGUGAGCAGGGGAGAAAUAGCAGAGGGGCUUGGAGGGACACAUAGGUAGAUGGUAAAGAGAAUGAGGAAUAAAAGGAGAAGAGAAAAGGAAAAAGCAGAAAGGAAAAGAAGGAAGAGAGAGGAAGGGAGAAGGGAGAGGAAUGGAUUGAGGAAGUGAAAGAAGGUAAGGAGGUAGGAAGAGGGAGGAGGAAAGGAAGGGGAGAUGGCCUCAAGCUUCAGACCUUACCUGGGUUUUCAGGGCAAACAUAAAUGUAAAUACACUGAUUUAUUCUGUUACUAGAUCAGGUUUUAGGGUCCUGCAAAGGGCUAGCUCGGCACUACACUAGCAGAUUUGCUCCUGUUCUGUCAUUUUUCAUGGUCUUCCUUGGUUUUAAAGGCCACCAUUUGCACA